AAUUACCUACGGGGCGCAGCAGUGGGGGAUAUUGCACAAUGGGGGGAACCCUGAUGCAGCGACGCCGCGUGGGUGAAGAAGCGCCUCGGCGCGUAAAGCCCUGUCAGCAGGGAAGAAAAUGACGGUACCUGAAGAAGAAGCCCCGGCUAACUACGUGCCAGCAGCCGCGGUAAUACAUAGGGGGCAAGCGUUAUCCGGAAUGAUUGGGCGUAAAGGGUGCGCAGGCGGUCCUGCAAGUCUGGAGUGAAACGCAUGAGCUCAACUCAUGCAUGGCUUUGGAAACUGGAGGACUGGAGAGCCGGAGG
rnacentral:rRNA from 1 species